GCCACAUCCCCAGCCCCAUGAUUCAAGCAUUAAUAAAGGAGGUGAGAAGCUUUUUUCACCAUGCUCUCCCUUCCAUGAGCUACCUCGCCACAGACCCAAAGCAACAAGGCCAAUUGAUCAUGGAAACCUCCAAAACUUUCUUGGCGGACACAACAUCUUUGUUG